CCCGAGGGAUGUAAUCAAAUUCAUCAAUUAUAGCAUGUAUACCAGAACUAGUAAAUGCACAAUUGGCUGGAAAAAGAGCAAUAUGGACUUGUAUAAUUAUAUAAAUGUGUAUGUUUAAUUGUUCAGAAUGCAAAGUUGCAGUAUGUAUUCACAUAGACAUAUAAUGGAUAACAUAUCUAUUAUAAGUCUAUGCCCGGGGCAGGGUUGGCAAAAAAGUGGUCGAUAUGAGGCCGGUGGUCAAUACUGGUUAAUACUGGUCGAUUGAAAAUUGUUUGGUAUAUAUAAUAUACUUAUAAGUCAUAAUAUUACAUAAAUAAUGUACAAAUGACUCUGUUGAAUUGGGGAGAUGUAAAAGUUUCUGUUCAAAUUCCUUAAUUUAACAAGAACUACCUUAGUAUAAGUAUUGUUUCAUCAAUCUUCAUUUUAAUUGUUGAAUAAACAUUUGAGGGUGGGUUAGUGAUGUUUUCAUAACAAUAUAAACAGGUACACUGGUCAUCUCUGGUCCCAGCCUAUGCUUAUUUUAUAAAACACCUGUCCACUCUGCUUCCUGGGCUCAGGUAAUGUCCAGCUACCUUUUAUUGUUAAUCUGUCCAGGUACAUGUAUUAAGAGGUCUGUCUCCAAUAAUCAAGCUAUGUUAUAGAACUGUGACCCUCUGGUAGGUACUGAAGAUGUUUCGGUCAGUUUUAGCAAACCAAAUAUAUUAAACUUAUGAAAUUACAUUUGAUUAUCUAAUGAAAAAUAUUAAUCAACAAUUGAUCCAUAUAUUAUAAUGAAAAGACUUAAUUUAUCUUUAUCUUUGCAAGAAAUGUACAAAAAUAGGAAAAUGGACAGUUUAAAUCACAAUUGACCAUUAUUGACCACUUGGGGAGUAUUGACUGGGACGGUUAAAACCACUGGUUAAAACUGGGGGCGGUUUUAACCGCCCAACCCUGCUAUGCCUCUAUGGUAUUCAGAGAUAGAUCAUACUAACUACAUGUAAUUACUUUUUCUUUAAUUAAGUGAAUUUAUACAUUACUUGUUUCUCCUAUAAGUUAACUACUACUUUAUGGCAUAAAUUGAAGAUUCAGUCCCUGGUGUUGGGGAUCUUUUAUCUUGAAAACAAUAGAUGCUAGUGCCACACAACCAAAGAAUGUAGUAAACAUACUGCUACCUUUGCAUGUAUUAAUUAGCAAAUUAAGGUACUAGUAAAUAUAAAUGUCUAGGGUGUUUUUUAUCUAUUAAAAAGAUUGUAUCAAACUCUAAAUCUAAUAAGUGAAAUUUUGUAAUAUUCCAGCUUCAGGAAGUUUAUCCUAUCAUAACGGAGAUGAUUAGCUACUUUGAACCUACUUUCAUGGAUCUACCAUAUUACUUUUUUUUUUACUAUGACAUUUGACUUUAUGUUACUUUUCAAAGAAGGUGUAAUUUAUACGUAUAACGUGCAUCACAUGCAAUUUUAAUGAUGCAGGCAAAUAAUUUUGAUGCAAUAUAAAAGGCAAGCGUGAACUGUAGAUCUACCCAGAUUAGAUUCAAUAAGAAUUGAAGGUCAAAAUCAUGGUGGUAACACAAAGCAUCUGUAUACAAGAUUUUUUAGGCUUGUUAAAUGGAAAAAUUAUAUGAAAAUAAUAGUCUCCAGUAAUAUCUACAUUUUAAUUCAUAUGAGAAAUCUUAUAACAUUUUCAAUAUUCAGACAGAUCAUGAGAUGGAAACCAAUGUAAUUGAGACGAAAAGGGAGUACAACUCGAAAUAUCAAGGAAAAACAAGAAAGGCCUUUGUGAUCAGCAGAUGAUGUCCUAUACAACCAUCCUUCCAUGACACAUGCAAUGGGAAGUUUAUUUCAGGAAACAAAGCCUGUCUGAAACUCUAAAAUGACAUUUCCAGAAAGCUGAAGAAUGGAUAAAAAUGUAUCUACCAUCUUACAACCCAGAUUUCAUUCCACUGAAAAGAAAAGGGACAGGAAAUUUUGCAUGUCCAUGUCUUGGAAGGUGAAUAGGUGGAAAGUCAAUAGAUGCUUACCAUAUCAGAUGCUUGCAAAGGAUACUGGGGAUAAAGUAGCAGAAAAUUAUGGAAAACAGAGAAGUGGCAGUCAGGACUAUGGAGGGGAGGGGACAAUGACAGUGAGAUGGCGUUAGGUUGGACACCAGAAGGGAAGAGGGCAUUUAAGAGACCGAAAACAACCUGGAGAGGAA